GGGAGAUCAACAGUUUAAUCUUCUGGAUUCCAAUAAAAGGGUUAGGCUUGUUUGAUCUGAAGAUAGUACUGUUUCGAGCCUCCCAAGUGACCCACCAGCAGGCUUUUAAACCGAUUGGCCCGGAUCUUGAUGGUGACGGUCCUUUCCUACAUAUCCACCUGUCCCAUGUAGAAAUCACAUCGUCGCCAAAGUCUCAGGAUUGAACACUCUCCAAGAUCAUUAUCAUUAGAAAUCUAAGAAACACGCACUGAGUAAAUAAGUGAUCAACCGUUUCCUCAUGUAUCCCACACAGGACGCAGGACAUAUUACCAAUCCAUCCUCUCUUACUGAGAUUAUCUGCAGUGAGAUAUCUUUUCCUAAGAACGAGCCAGGUAAACACUUUUAAUUUUAAUGGUAUACGGAGUCUCCAGAUCUUGUUAGCGCGGG
rnacentral:lncRNA from 1 species